UACGGAAGGCAGCAGUGGGGAAUAUUGCACAAUGGGCGAAAGCCUGAUGCAGCUAUGCCGCGUGUAUGAAGAAGGCCUUAGGGUUGUAAAGUACUUUCAUCGGGGAGGAAAAAACAAAACUAAUAAUUUUAUUUCUUGACGUUACCCGAAAAAGAAGCACCGGCUAACUCCGUGCCAGCAGCCGCGGUAAUACGGAGGGUGCUAGCGUUAAUCAGAAUUACUGGGCGUAAAGAGCACGUAGGUGGUUUUUUUAAGUCAGAUGUGAAAUCCCUGGGCUUAACCUAGGAACUGCAUUUUGAAACUGAAAUACUAGAGUAUCGUAGAGGGAGGUAGAAUUCUAGGUGUAGCGGUGAAAUGCGUAGAUAUCUGGAGGAAUACCUGUGGCGAAAGCGGCCUCCUAAACGAAUACUGACACUGAGGUGCGAAAAGCGUGGGGAGC
rnacentral:rRNA from 1 species